GUCAGACUGGCAGUUGGACCAACUAGGAGUUGAGGAAGAGAAAACAGAUUUAAGGUGGUUUAAGUUUCAUUAAUGCUUAUUGAUUGCCUUAGGAGCAGAUUUACAUUUUUGAAGACCUCAUAGUGAUUUAUGGACAAUUGGGAAAACAGACAUUGUCUACAUCUUUCACAAAUUAAUCAGUAUUUCAGGACCUCAUGGGACUAUCAUUUACCAUGAGAUAGAGUCAAGAGGAAGACAAGAAGUUUGGAGUGGAUUGAGAC
rnacentral:lncRNA from 1 species